AUACGGAGGGUGCGAGCGUUAAUCGGAAUUACUGGGCGUAAAGCGUACGUAGGCGGUUGGUUAAGUUAGAUGUGAAAGCCCCGGGCUUAACCUGGGAACUGCAUUUAAAACUGGCGAACUAGAGUUGAGUAGAGGGGAGUGGAAUUUCAGGUGUAGCGGUGAAGUGCGUAGAGAUCUGAAGGAACACCAGUGGCGAAGGCGACUCCCUGGACUCGAACUGACGCUGAGGUACGAAAGCGUGGGGAGCAAACGGGAUUAGAAACCCUAGUAGUCC
rnacentral:rRNA from 1 species